UCGAGAAUCUUUCACAAUGGGGGCAACCCUGAUGGAGCGACGCCGCGUGGAGGAUAAGGUCUUCGGAUUGUAAACUCCUGUCAUGUGUGAACAAGGCUGCCGUGUUAAUAGCAUGGCAGAUUGAUGGUAGCACAAGAGGAAGAGACGGCUAACUCUGUGCCAGCAGCCGCGGUAAUACAGAGGUCUCAAGCGUUGUUCGGAAUCACUGGGCGUAAAGGGUGCGUAGGUGGCGUGGCAAGUCAGAUGUGAAAGCCCGGGGCUCAACCUCGGAAUUGCAUCCGAUACUGCCAUGCUAGAGUACUGAAGAGGUGACUAGAAUUCUCGGUGUAGCAGUGAAAUGCGUAGAUAUCGAGAGGAAUACCAACGGCGAAGGCAGGUCACUGGGCAGUUACUGACACUGAGGCACGAAGGCCAGGGGAGCAAACG
rnacentral:rRNA from 1 species